rnacentral:lncRNA from 1 species
AUUGGUUUCCAAAUUAUCUGUCCGUCUGUCUGUCUACAUAUAUGUUUGUAGGUUACAAUUUGAGGUGUCUCUCCAUUCAGUUGUCCGCGCUUUCGCUUUUUGUUGUGAAUUGUAAAUUGUUAUACUAAGUGGUAUAACAGUAUACAACAUUUAUACCUUGGUAAAUAGUCAUAAUCAAAAGUAUUGAUUGAGACAGAAGCCUACGGAUUUGGGGAAGAAAGGAGUAGUCCUUAUCAUUUACAUAUGUAUUAGUGGUACCUGCCAGAGGGAGUGUUUGUCCAGGAUAGGACUACACAGCCACAGCAGGAAAUGUAUCAGGACAUGAAAUGUAAAAGCCGGACUAGACUAUGCGCAACUCCAUGUCUCUCGAGACAGAAAGGAUGCCAACCAACCAAGUGUCACUUUAUUUUUUCGACGUGGAAAGCAUGAAAGCAAUGUGGUGUUUGAAAUCACAUAUUAAAGAGCCGGAGAAAAUAAGGUGACCUACAGUUGCCGUGGCUUUAACUGUUAUACCAAGACACUAACUUUUCAAAUAAUAAUAAUAAUUCUUUGUACUAUUAUAUUUUCACCACCUCGAAUUUUGGGGAAGGGGGCUAAACGAUCCAAGUACUCAUCGACCCAAGUACUUAAUCAGUACUUUUAUUGUCAACUCCGAAAUGAUGAAGGACGAAGUCGACCUCGGUGGAAUUUGAACUCAGAACAUGUAGACAGACGAAAUACCGCUAAGCAUCUAGCCCGACAUGCAAACGAUUCUGCCAGCUCGCGGCAUAAAUAAUAAUAAUAAUGAUAAUAAUAAUAAUAAUAAUAAUAAUAAAUCAUGUACGUCAUCAUCAACAAUAUUAUUACUAUUAUUGUUUAUGGCUACUAUUAUUAAGUGGAGGCGCGUGGCUUAGUUGUUAGGGCGUCAGCACCUUGAUCGUAAGAUUGUGGUUUCGAUUCCUGGACCGGGUGACGCGUUGUGUUCUUGAGCAAAACUCUUCAUUUCCGUUGCUCCAGUCCACUGAGCUGGCAAAAAUGAGUAACGCUGCGAUGGACUGGCGUCCCGUCCAGCUGAGGAACACGUAGGUCAUAGAAACCGGAAAACCGGGCCCAUGAGCUUAUUAUUAUUAUUAUUACUAUUAUUAUUAAUGUUAUUGCACCACCACCCCGGCACACAUAAGCAUGUAUGUGUGUGUAUGUACUUGCAUAUUCUCCAAGUAUGAAUUCACACAUCAUUCUGUGCGUUUGCUAAAUUUGUACGCUUAUGGGUAACUGUAUAUUUAUCUGCGGUUGAUAGCUGCGAUUUGUGGAUAUGAUAUUCAUUUACAUCGGCCUCUUACAAAUCCAUUCGGGUUUUAUACAACAGACAUCUGUGGAGUAGUGGUGAGGAAUAACAAGUGUGUACUCUAUAUAAAGAGCGUACGAGUAUCUAAAAAUAACUGAUAGAAAAGCGGGUGGUGGCUUCAUUAUUAUCGUAAAGCAAUGUAAAUUUAGUUCAUUCAAUCCACAAUGACUUCGAAGUUUUGUCGACUGUUGUCUUUGUCAGGCAACCUUUCAAGUCACUACGAAUUAUUAAAAACUUUCUAACACACACAAUUAUAGACACGCCCAUGCAGACAGGUCACACGUGUGUUACAUAACAGUUUAUAUGUAUACACACACACACACACACACACACACACACACAUAUAUAUAUAUAUAUAUAUAUAUAUAUAUAUUAUUACUGUUAUUGCACCACCACCCCGGUACACAUAAGCAUGUAUGUGUGUAUGUACUUGCAUAUUCUCCGAGUAUGAAUUCACACAUCAUUGUGUACGUUUGCUAAAUUUGUACACUUAUGGGUAACUGUAUAUUUAUCUGUAUAUAUAUAUAUAUAUAUAUAUAUAUAUAUAUAUAUAUAUAUAUAUGGAGUUGCCUUGUGGUAAAUAGCUUGCUUACCAACCACAUGUUUCCGGGUUCAGUCCCACUGCUUGGCACCUUGGGCAAGUGUCUUCUGCUAUAGCCUCGCGCCGACUAAAACCUUGUGAAUGGAUUUGGUAGACAAGAAACUAUAUAUGUGUGUGCCUGUGUUUGUUCCCCUACCAUCGCGUGACAACCGAUAUUGUGUUUAUGGCCCAGUAACUUAGCAGAUCGGCAUAAGAGACCGAGAGAAUAAGUAUUAGGCUUAGAAAGAAUAAGUCCUGGGGCCGAUUUGUUUGACUAAAGGCGGUGCUCCAGCAUGGCCACAGUCAAAUGACUCAAAGAAAUAUUAAAAAAUAAAUUUUAAAAGUAAACAUAAGAACGAUAUUAAUUUUUUAAAAAUAUCACCGAUUGUGGCUGCCGUACAGUCAAAUUUAUAUAUAUAUAUAUAUAUGUAUAUAUGUAUAUAUGUAUAUAUAUGAGCACCUGCAUUGGUAUAAAUAGAAGUCAUCAUACUUCUAUGCCAUGGAAAUAUAUAUAUAUAUAUAUAUAUAUAUAUAUAUAUAUUUAUAUAUAUAUAUGCGUGUGUUUGCAUGUACACUGUAAUUGUCGAUAUCUAUCUAUCUAUCUAUCUAUCUAUCUAUCUAUCUAUCUAUCUAUCUAUCUAUCUAAACAGAGAGAUAGACAGACAGAUAUCUUGUUUCAGCUAAUAGACUGCAGCCAAUGCUGGGACACCGCUUCAAAGGGUUGAGGCGAACAAACGAUCAAAUCGAUCACGGUGGUACAUCUCUCUCUCUCAUUUUUGAGAUGUCGCAUAAAUACCGGCACGAAAACAAACCAGCACCGGUUGUGAAGCAGUGACAGGGGACAAUCACAGACCACAUAUAAACAUGCACACACACACACACACACACACAUUGUCUGGGGAGAGUUAUAUUAUCUAACACACUCAUCGGUUGGAUUUCCACACAUUUAUUUUUUACUUUUUUUCUUCCAAAAUUAUCGUUGCACCCUUGACAAGGUUGCAAUGGAUGUUGACAAGAUUGCAAAAGCAACGAAAAUUUUGGAGGAAAAAUCAUAUUUGAGUGGAAAUAUAACCGGUUAGUGUGUUGGCUAAUAAAGCAUGAAGACAAUAUGACUCCAGAGACACAACAUAAGUUGCUUCUACACACGAAAUGACAUAGAAAACGUUGCGAUACCACCAGUCAUGUUUUGGCUGCUAUUUCCAGCGUGGUGGUAUCUCUUAGAUACCCUAAAUUAUAAUUUUAAUAAUAAUUAUUACCUUUGAAGGUGUUUUAUUACUAUGCUUGCCACUUGAUAAGAUCAAUAUUUAAAUUAACGAUCUUAUCCUUAUAUAUAUAUAUAUAUAUAUAUAUAUAUAUAUAUAUAUAUAUAUGGUUCCUAGUACUUAUUCUGUCGGUGUCUUUUGCCGAACCGCUAGAUUACGGGGACAUAUACACGCUGUAGGACUGAACACGGAACCAUCUGGUUGGGAAGCCAACUCCUUACAUACACAAACAUGUAUAUGUACAUUUUAUGUAUGUAUAUAUGAAUGUAUGUAUGCAUGUAUCUAUCUAUCUAUGCGCGCGCGUUGUUGCUGUUGUUGUGUGUGUGUGUGUGUCCAUGCAUCCCUUGAGGGUAUUUAAAUAUCUAAGAUCACGAAACAAGAGAGAUAACUCCAAUCUUCCCGCUGCAAUUUUUUUGUCUAUAAAGGGAAUAUGAUAAAGCGUCGAAGUUGCAUUCAAAAGCCGGCUGGUGAUGGAAAAGCAACUGUACACGCCUUACACUAUGUGUGUUUACUAUCCUGAUCGUUCUCCUCAAGUACUGUCACUUAAAGCUCAAUAUUACAUCUUUAUAUGUGUGUGUGUGCCAGUAUGUGUCUGUGUGUAUGUGUGUGUGUUAGUGUCUGUCUGCCUGUCUAUGUGCAUAUGUAUGUAUGUAUGUAUGUAUGUAUGUAUGUAUGUAUGUAUGUAUCUAUCUAUCUAUCUAUGCAUCUCUCUCUCUCUCUCUCUCUCUCUCUCUCUAUAUAUAUAUAUAUAUAUAUUUAUAUAUUUUAUUUUAUCUAGUUUCAGCUCACGAGCUGUGGCCAUGCUGGGGCACCGCCAUGUAUAUAUAUGUGUGUGUGUGUGUGUGUGUGUGUUAGUGUCUGCCUGCCUGCCUAUGUGCAUAUGUAUGUAUGUAUGUACGUAUGUAUGUAUCUAUCUAUGCUUCUCUAUGUGUGUGUGUGUGUGUGAGUGUGUACUUUGCUGCCUAUGUGGUCUCCAACACGAUAUCUGCAUCACUAUUCACGGCAAAUCAUGUCCGAAGAAUGGACUACGCGAUAUCAUUAGAAUGACCUCCCUUGAUAGUUUUUUUUACCAUUUUUUUUCCUUAUUAAUCACCCAGAGGCGGAGCUUUUUGACUCCCUUUGCAACGUUUAAUUUUGGUUGAUUGAACCUUAACGACUAACAAACUAAUUAAGUAACUAAUUAAUUGUGUGUAUGCAUGUAGCGUGUGUGCUUGCAGGUGUGUAUAUUUGCGUGGGUGAGCAUGUAUAUAAAACAAAUUUUGAUUGUGAUAAUUUAAAGAGAAAAUUAUUAUUUUCAAAUUUGCUCUGGCUGGUAAACACGUUUAAGUUAAUAGAUAUAGAUUUGCGUGCCAGAUGACAUGUGUUUGUGUCCACAUGUCUCUGUGUCCACAUGUGUGUGUGUGCGUGUGUGUGUGUGUGUGUGAGAGAGAGUGUAUUUGUGUGAGUGCUUGUUGUGUAUACAGCUAUUUACGAAUAUCGAAACCAUUAUGCAGGUUUAUUUAUAUAAAUCUAGACCCAAUGGUGCGUAACUGUCUGCAUGUGUGUGUGUACAUUAGGUCAUGUGUGUGUAUAUGUUGUUGCAUGCAUAUGUGUCUGUGUGUUCACUUGUAUGUUUAUGACUAUGUGGGUGGUUGGGUGUGCAUUGCCCAUAUAUCAACUGUAACAAAUAUAUAUAUAUAUAUAAUAUAUAUAUAAAUCAAUCCUUGUCGGCAUCUGCCUCUCCCUCUCCCUCACUCUCCUUCUCUCUCUCUCUCUCACUCUCUGCCUGACUAUCUGUCUGCCUUUCUUACACAGUCUUUCCCCUCUAUCAUUGCAGGUGGUAUGAUCGAAAAUGGAACCCAGUAACAACCUCCUUGCCCACUCGAGCUUACCAUUUUAUCCCGCCAUCACUACAAGUAUGUCUGCAGGAAUACUAACUGCGAGUACGGGAGGACAGGAAACCGCUUCCAGAUCGGCGCUGUCCGGUCAAAAUGCCUGGGGCACGUACGGAAAUGAAGCCAGCUUAGUUCCACAUAACUCGUGUUCCAUGUCAUCUUAUUCCAAUUUGCAGCUGGGUGCCACGUUCCCAAUGAACAGUAAACCCUCGUACACAACAUUCGGAACAAGUGCAGAAUAUUUGACAAACUGUAGACAGAUGCAACUCAACCAACUGGGUACAUUGAAUGCAAUGCCCAUGAGAAAUUAUCCGAUAUACGGUGACGUAUAUCAACCUGGACAUGCGGCCAGUUACACAAACGGUGGAUUUUACCCCGAUGUUACACCCGGAAUAACAGCCAUAUCGGGUAGAGAACACGAAUGUCGGAACGGGCCGACAGACUCCACAGGGCAAG